UACAGAGGGUGCGAGCGUUAAUCGGAAUUACUGGGCGUAAAGCGCACGUAGGCGGCGAUGUAAGUCGGGUGUGAAAGCCCCGGGCUCAACCUGGGAAUUGCAUUCGAGACUGCAUUGCUGGAGUACGGAAGAGGAGGGCGGAAUUCCCGGUGUAGCGGUGAAAUGCGUAGAUAUCGGGAGGAACAUCAGUGGCGAAGGCGGCCCUCUGGUCCAGUACUGACACUCAAGUGCGAAAGCGUGGGGAGCAAACAGG
rnacentral:rRNA from 1 species